rnacentral:rRNA from 1 species
GUGCUUAACACAUGCAAGUCGAACGGAAAGGCCUUUUCGGAGGUACUCGAGUGGCGAACGGGUGAGUAACACGUGGGUGAUCUGCCCUGCACUCUGGGAUAAGCCUGGGAAACUGGGUCUAAUACCGGAUAGGACCGCACUUUAGUGUGUGUGGUGGAAAGUUUUUUCGGUGUAGGAUGAGCCCGCGGCCUAUCAGCUUGUUGGUGGGGUAAUGGCCUACCAAGGCGGCGACGGGUAGCCGGACUGAGAGGUUGGUCGGCCACAUUGGGACUGAGAUACGGCCCAGACUCCUACGGGAGGCAGCAGUGGGGAAUAUUGCACAAUGGGCGCAAGCCUGAUGCAGCGACGCCGCGUGGGGGAUGACGGCCUUCGGGUUGUAAACUCCUUUCGCCAGGGACGAAGCGUUUUGUGACGGUACCUGGAGAAGAAGCACCGGCUAACUACGUGCCAGCAGCCGCGGUAAUACGUAGGGUGCAAGCGUUGUCCGGAAUUACUGGGCGUAAAGAGCUCGUAGGUGGUUUGUCACGUCGUCUGUGAAAUUCCACAGCUUAACUGUGGGCGUGCAGGCGAUACGGGCUGACUUGAGUACUGUAGGGGUAACUGGAAUUCCUGGUGUAGCGGUGAAAUGCGCAGAUAUCAGGAGGACACCGAUGGCGAAGGCAGGUUACUGGGCAGU